GACGAACGCUGGCGGCGUGCCUAAUACAUGCAAGUAGAACGCACAGUUUAUACCGUAGCUUGCUACACCAUAGACUGUGAGUUGCGAACGGGUGAGUAACGCGUAGGUAACCUGCCUGGUAGCGGGGGAUAACUAUUGGAAACGAUAGCUAAUACCGCAUAAUAUUGAUUAUUGCAUGAUAAUUGAUUGAAAGAUGCUAUUGCAUCACUACCAGAUGGACCUGCGUUGUAUUAGCUAGUAGGUGAGGUAACGGCUCACCUAGGCGACGAUACAUAGCCGACCUGAGAGGGUGAUAGGCCACACUGGGACUGAGACACGGCCCAGACUCCUACGGGAGGCAGCAGUAGGGAAUCUUCGGCAAUGGACGAAAGUCUGACCGAGCAACGCCGCGUGAGGGAAGAAGGUUUUCGGAUCGUAAAGCUCUGUUGUAAGAGAAGAACGGGUGUGAGAGUGGAAAGUUCACACUGUGACGGUAGCUUACCAGAAAGGGACGGCUAACUACGUG
rnacentral:rRNA from 1 species